UACGUAGGGUGCGAGCGUUGUCCGGAAUUAUUGGGCGUAAAGAGCUUGUAGGCGGUUUGUCGCGUCUGCUGUGAAAAUCCGGGGCUCAACCCCGGACUUGCAGUGGGUACGGGCAGACUAGAGUGUGGUAGGGGAGACUGGAAUUCCUGGUGUAGCGGUGGAAUGCGCAGAUAUCAGGAGGAACACCGAUGGCGAAGGCAGGUCUCUGGGCCACUACUGACGCUGAGAAGCGAAAGCUAGGGGAGCGAACAGG
rnacentral:rRNA from 1 species